UACGGAGGAUCCAAGCGUUAUCCGGAUUUAUUGGGUUUAGAGGGUGCGUAGGCGGGCAGGUAAGUCAGAGGUGAAAUCUCCGAGCUUAACUCGGAAACUGCCUUUGAUACUAUCUGUCUUGAAUAUUGUGGAGGUAAGCGGAAUAUGUCAUGUAGCGGUGAAAUGCUUAGAUAUGACAUAGAACACCUAUUGCGAAGGCAGCUUACUACGCAUAUAUUGACGCUGAGGUGCGAAAGCGUGGGGAGCAAACAGG
rnacentral:rRNA from 1 species